GGCCCAAAAUAGCCCAAAACUGCCCGCGUUUGUUGUCCGUUAUCGGAUCACAUUAGAAGCGUCUCCGUCCUGGCGAUCGAGCCCUAACCGGACGGGGCAGAGAGAGAGGAGAGAAGGCGGGGGCGGAUCUGAGCCGAACAAGGGCAUCGAGAGUCAUGGCGGCUGCAGUGAGUGUGUGGGAGGGGCUGUACCGCGUCCUGAUGCGCCGCAACUCCGUCUACGUUACCUUUGUUGUUGCCGGCGCCUUCGUCGGAGAGCGGAAGAGAUACGAGGAUAUUCCAGUAUUGGGGCAAAGGCAAUCAGAAUGAUGUUUAUGGAAAUUCUAAAUAUUUUCAAGGAUGCAGAAGGUUAUGUGACCCUGUUGCAGAUAGGGAAACUUUUUAUGCUCUCUAAUAAGGAACUCUAAGCCUGUUGAUACGCUUGUCGAAAAACAAGUGGUCAAAUUCUUUUCCUGAUCUACUGGUUGCGGACUGGAUAAAGUGCUGUUGUGCAACCUUACCUUGCAUUAUGUUUGUUGUUUCCCCCCUUUACUCUCAAGAAACAUGGCAAAUAAGUUUCAAAGGUUUUUUGAGCUGCUA